rnacentral:rRNA from 1 species
UGGGUAACCUGCCCAAGAGAUCGGGAUAACACCUGGAAACAGAUGCUAAUACCGGAUAACAACAGAUGAUGCCUAUCAACUGUUUAAAAGAUGGUUCUGCUAUCACUCUUGGAUGGACCUGCGGUGCAUUAGCUAGUUGGUAGGGUAACGGCCUACCAAGGCGAUGAUUCAUAGCCGAGUUUAGAGACUGAUCGGCCACAUUGGGACUGAGACACGGCCCAAACUCCUACGGGAGGCAGCAGGC